UACGAAGGGGGCUAGCGUUGCUCGGAAUCACUGGGCGUAAAGGGCUCGUAGGCGGCCAACUAAGUCGGAUGUGAAAUCCCCAGGCUUAACCUGGGAACUGCAUCCGAUACUGGAUGGCUUGAAUCCGGGAGAGGGAUGCAGAAUUCCAGGUGUAGCGGUGAAAUGCGUAGAUAUCUGGAGGAACACCGGUGGCGAAGGCGGCAUCCUGGACCGGCAUUGACGCUGAGGCGCGAAAGCUAGGGGGAGCAAACGGG
rnacentral:rRNA from 1 species